rnacentral:rRNA from 1 species
AUACGGAGGAUCCGAGCGUUAUCCGGAUUUAUUGGGUUUAAAGGGAGCGUAGGCGGGAGAUCAAGUCAGCUGUGAAAUGUAGAUGCUCAACAUCUGCACUGCAGUUGAAACUGGUUUUCUUGAGUGCGUAAGGGGCAGGCGGAAUUCGUCGUGUAGCGGUGAAAUGCUUAGAUAUGACGAAGAACUCCGAUCGCGAAGGCAGCCUGCCGGGCCGCGACUGACGCUGAAGCUCGAAGGUGCGGGUAUCGAACAGGAUUAGAUACCCUGGUAGUCCGCACGGUAAACGAUGAUUACCCGCUGUCGGCGGUAGACAGUCGGCGGCCAAGCGAAAGCGAUAAGUAAUCCACCUGGGGAGUACGCCGGCAACGGUGAAACUCAAAGGAAUUGACGGGG